CAGCAGCCGCCGCGGUAAUACGUAGGGUGCAAGCGUUAAUCGGAAUUACUGGGCGUAAAGCGUGCGCAGGCGGUUAUAUAAGACAGAUGUGAAAUCCCCGGGCUCAACCUGGGAACUGCAUUUGUGACUGUAUAGCUAGAGUACGGCAGAGGGGGAUGGAAUUCCGCGUGUAGCAGUGAAAUGCGUAGAUAUGCGGAGGAACACCGAUGGCGAAGGCAAUCCCCUGGGCCUGUACUGACGCUCAUGCACGAAAGCGUGGGGAGCAAACAGGAUUAGAUACCCCAGUAGUCCCUGUCUCUUAUAC
rnacentral:rRNA from 1 species